rnacentral:rRNA from 1 species
AGUGAACGCUGGCGGUAGGCCUAACACAUGCAAGUCGAACGGCAGCACAGUAAGAGCUUGCUCUUACGGGUGGCGAGUGGCGGACGGGUGAGGAAUACAUCGGAAUCUACUUUUUCGUGGGGGAUAACGUAGGGAAACUUACGCUAAUACCGCAUACGACCUACGGGUGAAAGCAGGGGAUCUUCGGACCUUGCGCGAUUGAAUGAGCCGAUGUCGGAUUAGCUAGUUGGCGGGGUAAAGGCCCACCAAGGCGACGAUCCGUAGCUGGUCUGAGAGGAUGAUCAGCCACACUGGAACUGAGACACGGUCCAGACUCCUACGGGAGGCAGCAGUGGGGAAUAUUGGACAAUGGGCGCAAGCCUGAUCCAGCCAUACCGCGUGGGUGAAGAAGGCCUUCGGGUUGCAAAGCCCUUUUGUUGGGAAAGAAAAGCAGCAGGUUAAUACCCCGCUGUUCUGACGGUACCCAAAGAAUAAGCGCCGGCUAACUUCGUG